rnacentral:rRNA from 1 species
AGAGUUUGAUCCUGGCUCAGGAUGAACGCUAGCGGCAGGCCUAACACAUGCAAGUCGAGGGGCAACACGAAUAGCAAUAUUUGGUGGCGACCGGCGCACGGGGGCGUAACGCGUAUGCAACCUACCUUUAACUGGAGCAUAGCCCCGAGAAAUCGGGAUUAAUACUCCAUAACAUUUAUGAAUCGCAUGGUUUAUAAAUAAAAGUUCCGACGGUUAAAGAUUGGCUCGCGUGACAUUAGCUAGUUGGUAAGGUAACGGCUUACCAAGGCUACGAUGUCUAGGGGUUCUGAGAGGAUGAUCCCCCACACUGGUACUGAGACACGGACCAGACUCCUACGGGAGGCAGCAGUGAGGAAUAUUGGUCAAUGGGCGCAAGCCUGAACCAGCCAUCCCGCGUGCAGGAUGACGGCCCUAUGGGUUGUAAACUGCUUUUAUACACCAAGAAAAACACCCACGUGUGGGUGCCCGACGGUAGUGUAUGAAUAAGCAUCGGCUAACUCCGUGCCAGCAGCCGCGGUAAUACGGAGGAUGCAAGCGUUAUCCGGAUUUAUUGGGUUUAAAGGGUGCGUAGGCGGUCUAUUAAGUCAGCGGUGAAAGUUUUCAGCUUAACUGGAAAAAUGCCAUUGAUACUGUUUUUCUUGAGUAUGGUUGAGGUAGGUGGAAUGUGUUGUGUAGCGGUGAAAUGCAUAGAUAUGACACAGAACGCCGAUUGCGAAGGCAGCUUACUAAGCCAUUACUGACGCUGAGGCACGAAAGCGUGGGGAUCGAACAGGAUUAGAUACCCUGGUAGUCCACGCCGUAAACGAUGAUCACUCGCUGUUUGCGAUAUACAGCAAGCGGCUGAGCGAAAGCAUUAAGUGAUCCACCUGGGGAGUACGAUCGCAAGGUUGAAACUCAAAGGAAUUGACGGGGGCCCGCACAAGCGGAGGAACAUGUGGUUUAAUUCGAUGAUACGCGAGGAACCUUACCUGGGCUUAAAUGUAGAGCGACAGAUUGUGAAAGCAGUCCUUCUUCGGACGAUCUACAAGGUGCUGCAUGGUUGUCGUCAGCUCGUGCCGUGAGGUGUCGGGUUAAGUCCCAUAACGAGCGCAACCCUUAUCGUUAGUUGCCAGCGGGUCAAGCCGGGGACUCUAGCGAGACUGCCACCGUAAGGUGUGAGGAAGGUGGGGAUGACGUCAAAUCAGCACGGCCCUUAUGUCCAGGGCUACACACGUGUUACAAUGGCCGAUACAAAGGGCAGCUACCAGGUGACUGGAUGCUAAUCUCCAAAGUCGGUCUCAGUUCGGAUCGAAGUCUGCAACCCGACUUCGUGAAGCUGGAUUCGCUAGUAAUCGCAUAUCAGCCAUGAUGCGGUGAAUACGUUCCCGGGCCUUGUACACACCGCCCGUCAAGCCAUGGAAGCUGGGGGUGCCUGAAGUUCGUGACCGCAAGGAGCGACCUAGGGCAAAACUAGUAACUGGGGCUAAGUCGUAACAAGGUAACC